rnacentral:lncRNA from 1 species
UAGCUUUAGAGCAUCAAUAGGGCAAGUCUCUUGCUUUGGGGGUGGAGGUGGGCAUGGCACUGGAGGUGGCGGAGGAGGGCAUGGUGUUUCAGUUGGCGGUGGCUUCACAACAGGAGGCUUUGGUGGUAGAGUUGGCGGUGCUGGUGUUACCGGCGGCGUAGGAUAAUACGGUGGUGUAGGGGUAACAGGAGGCUUUGGUGGUAGAGUCGGAGGCUUGAUCACCGGUGGUUUUGGUGUCGGUGUUACCGGAGGGGUAGGAUAAGGCGGCGGAGUUGGGGUAACAGGAGGCUUUGGUGGUAAAGUUGGUGGGGAAAUGAUUGGUGGUUUGGGUACAUAAGGUGGUGGCUUUACAGUAGGAGGCUUUGGUGGUAAAGUUGGUGGGGAAAUGAUUGGUGGUUUGGGUACAUAAGGUGGUGGCUUUACAGUAGGAGGUUUUGGUAUAUGGGGUGGAUAUACAAUUGGAGGCUUGACAACCGGUGGUUUGGGUACGGUUGGUGGUUUGACAACGGGUGGUUUGGGUACAUAAGGUGGCGGCUUUACAGUAGGAGGUUUUGGUACAUGGGGUGGAUAUACAAUUGGAGGCUUGACAACCGGUGGUUUUGGUACGGUUGGUGGUUUGACAACGGGUGGUUUGGGAACCACCGGAG